rnacentral:rRNA from 1 species
UGCUGUAGUGUUACUGACGCUGAGGCUCGAGGGUGCGGGUAUCGAACAGGAUUAGAUACCCUGGUAGUCCGCACGGUAAACGAUGGACACCCGCUGUCUGCCGGUUUAGGUAGGCGGCCAAGCGAAAGCAUUAAGUGUCCCACCUGGGGAGUACGCCGGCAACGGUGAAACUCAAAGGAAUUGACGGGGGCCCGCACAAGCGGAGGAACAUGUGGUUUAAUUCGAUGAUACGCGAGGAACCUUACCCGGGCUUGAACUGCAGAGGAAAGAUCCAGAGAUGGUGAUGCCCUUCGGGGCCUCUGCGGAGGUGCUGCAUGGUUGUCGUCAGCUCGUGCCGUGAGGUGUCGGCUUAAGUGCCAUAACGAGCGCAACCCCUCUCCGUAGUUGCCAUCAGGUAGAGCUGGGCACUCUGCGGACACUGCCACCGCAAGGUGUGAGGAAGGUGGGGAUGACGUCAAAUCAGCACGGCCUGACGUGCGGUGCUACACACCUGUUACAAUGGGUGGUACAGAGAGCUGGCAGUGCGCAAGGCCUGCCGAAUCAUGAAAUCCAUCCUCAGUUCGGACUGGGGUCUGCAACCCGACGACACGAAGCUGGAUU